rnacentral:rRNA from 1 species
UACGAAGGUGGCAAGCGUUGUUCGGAUUUACUGGGCGUACAGGGAGCGUAGGCGGUUGGAUAAGCCCUCCGUGAAAUCUCCGAGGCUUAACCCUGGGAAAGUGCAGAGGGGACUGUUCAGCUAGAGGAUGGGAGAGGAGCGCGGAAUUCCCGGUGUAGCGGUGAAAUGCGUAGAGAUCGGGAAGAACAUCAGUGGCGAAGGCGGUCUGCUGGGCCGUUGCUGACGCUGAGGCGCGACAGCGUGGGGAGCAAACAGG